ensembl:lncRNA
UAUUGUCAUCAAGAAUGUUGCUUAACUGACACGAGGAGUUGGAGCACAAAGUAUCGGCCGUGACGUUUAUUUGAUGUUUUCUGUCGAGUGCAGUUGGCGAGGCUGAGCCGGGCCUUCAGCGGCUGCACCCCCCGGCUGCUCACUCCGACAGGGACUCACAGAGCGUGCAUUUCUUACCGGAGAUCAGCACAGACGUUCUGAACGGGGGCCGAGUGCAGCUCGUGGCUGACCCAGGAUACGCAGAACGUCUACAUCACGCCAGCGGAUCGUGGGCCAACAACAGUUUAUCUGCCCAGCCCUGCAGAGAGAACAAUUCUCCUCGCACAAACUCUUUGGGUCAUGCAAGAAGGGAGUUCCCAUCUCCUCAGCGGGUCACGUCGGCUCCGUCCAAAAGAGAACGCAUCUCCUACCGAGACAACCUGGUGCAGAUGAGCGGCGGCUGGGGAGGGGGCAAGAAGAAGAGGGACAAAGUGUGCAAGUAAAACACAAACUCUUCCACCACCACGUCACUCACCCAACACCCAGAGAAAGUAAAGCAGAUAGAUUUGAUAUCUGUCCCUCCUGCGGGUGCACAUCCCUACAAAGAAUGCAGCGUCUGAUCAUUUCCUAACAUGUAGUGACCCAAUAGAUUACCCCCCCCCCCCGAAGCUAUUCUUUUUAAACUCAGCUGAAAACUCGAGCUCCCUGCCCUGAAACUGAAUUAAGAGCAAUAGGACCUGAACCAGCCCAAAUAUCUUCAGGCACUUUCAUUGUGUUGACUCAGCUCAAGUAUCGCCGAUCGCA